rnacentral:tRNA from 1 species
GUCCGUCCCCAUUAACCGCUCGGG